rnacentral:misc_RNA from 1 species
CUCUUUUUGUCGAAUUUUUUUAUUUGUUAAAUCUAACGCUCAUAAAUCGAUAGGCAAUCAAUCACUGUCGGUUCAUGAUCAUAAUUAGCAUAAAAAUUUUAGCUGGCAGAUGCAGGCCAACAAAAACUCAUCACCAUCCAUUACCAGAGUCGACAACUCUUCGUCGACGAUAUCCCUAAAUGGCCUGAUUUUGUGCACGUAAGGUGAAAAUGGUUAGGCUGGAGGGAAAAUUCUAGUCUCUCAAACAUUGUAGAGAAGCGCCGGCGUGGUUUCGUUAUACUGGAUAGGCCUGAGGGAUGAAUUAGUGACGCCUCUUAAGUGGCUUAGGUGCUUAGGUGAUCGUAAUUGGUUGCGCUGAUAAAUAGUGCGGAAGCAGUUGGAUUUUGAUUCAGCCAAAAAAAUGAAUUCGACUAAUUCCACUUCCGGGGACCAGGCUUCCCUAUCCGAAAUCGUUAUUGUCUCCAUUAUCGUUACGAUUAUCGCCACUCUUACGGCGGGCGGAAAUUUAAUGGUUAUGAUCAGCUUCAAGAUGGACAAGCAAUUACAAACCGUUAGCAAUUAUUUCUUACUCAGCUUAAGCGUCGCUGAUCUAGCUAUAGGCCUAUUCUCAAUGCCCUUGUAUACUGUGCAAUUAAUAAGAAGGUCCUGGCCGUUGGGUGGAAUUGCCUGCGAUUUAUGGCUGUCUUUGGAUUAUACUAUGAGCAAUGCGAGCGUUGCUAAUCUUCUACUGAUUAGCUUCGACAGGUAUCUGAGUAUAACUAGACCGCUAACCUAUAGAGCAAAAAGAACACCAAAAAGAGCAGCAAUUAUGAUUUUCUGCGCCUGGGUCGUCUCAAUAAUACUUUGGACACCUUGGAUUUAUGGUUGGCCACACUUAGAGGGCCGUCGAACUGUUCCUGAGGACGAUUGUUAUAUCCAAUUCUUAAAGAGUAAUCAGUAUGUGACAAUAGCAACAGCUAUAGCAGCCUUCUACCUUCCUGUUUUUAUUAUGUGUGUGCUUUACUUCAAAAUCUACUUAGAAACUGAAAAGAGACAAAGGGGGUUAGAGAAGUUACAAGCUCAUUCUACGGAUUCCGAUGAAGAGAUUUCAAAUAGGAGAAAUAGGUAUUGUUGGAGGAGAUGUUGCAAAAUUGAUGAAGCAGAUGAAACUGAUCAUGAAGACGAAUGGAGUAAUACAUCACCUAAGCAAAAUGGAAAGAAUGAGAGAAUGAUACCUCUCAUUUCAAAACCACCUGAUGAUAUUGCUGAUACAUAUACAAUUUUAAUCAAACUUCCAGAAGAAGGAAGUUCUAAAGCUUCCAUAAAGAUGUACAACGAGGACGACACGGAAGAAGAACUUUUGAAAAGAACUCGGAAAUUACCGAAUCACAAAGAACGUAGGAGAGGUCACGAAAGGAAGCAAGACACGAAGGCUGCCAAGACAUUGAGUGCUAUUCUGCUAGCCUUUAUAAUUACUUGGACGCCUUACAACUUGUUUGUUUUUGUUGAAGCUUUUCAGCCAGGAUUUGUCCACGAGACAGUCUAUGGUAUAGGUAAAUAUCUUCUUUCAAAAUAAUUAACAUUCAUUUGAAUAUCGACACUAUGAGGACUUUUAAAGUAGACUCUAGGCUAAUGUCCUCCUUCUUUUUUUUAAAUUUGCUCUAUACAGAAGCAUAAUUUUAAAGCUUUUCUUUUCCUAGAAAACACAAAUUCACUUUUUUGUAGUUCUUUUUUUAUUUUUAAACUCAUUGAACAAAACAAAAAGCCAAAUUUUCAACCGUAUUUUUUAACAGAAGAAGGAAAGUACCUAACUUUUAAUUGAUUCUCGAAAAAUUGAAUUCAGAUAAGCUAAUUUAUACACUAAUUGUUUUUCACGAGAAAGAGAGAGUGAGUGAGAGAAAUAUAUAUCUAUAUAGAGAGAGAAAGAGAGAGAGAGAGAAAGAGAGAAAGAUAGGAAGAAAAGUGAAAAGAGAGAGAGAGAGAGAGUGAGAGUGGGUGAGUGAGAAAGAAAGAAAGAAAGAAAGAGACAAUAUUAAUCUAUUUCCUAUAAAAAUUUAUUGAGAAAAUAUGUUGAACCCCUCUCUCCAUUAUUUAUUUCAUCUCUUCUCUUCCUCACUUCUUCCUGUACACAUGCACACAUACACACGCUCUAAUCUCUCCUCUCUUUCUCUAUCUCUCUCUCUCGCUCUCUUUCUUCCUUUCUUUUUUCCAACUUUCUCUAACUUUUCAUUUUCUUAUUUUCGAUUUAUCUCUUUAUCUCGUAGACUAAAGACACCCAUUUCUAAAAAUCUAAUUUCUUAAUAAACAUUUUUAUACUUUCAUUAUUUUUUCUAGGGUACUGGCUAUGCUAUAUAAAUAGUACAAUAAAUCCACUUUGCUACGCUUUAUGUAACGCUAACUUUAGGAGGACGUAUUGGCGAAUAUUGACUUGUAGAUGGCGCAAGAAGCGACCAUUAACUGUGUCUAGAAGUUGAUUGAUGCUGAUUGAUGCUUUUAUGUUUUUAUUAAUCUUUAUAACUGCAUAACAUACGUAUAACAGUGUGUAAAUAUGUUGUCUCAUUCCGAAAGUAUUAACGCAGAAAAACCUCCUUGAUAAAACAAAUAUUAUGGUUAAAAUUUUAUUAGUUUUAUUCAUGCUCCCAUUUUCCUAAGGAGGAAACAAAUAUUAUGACUUGGUUAAAAUAGAAAAUUUCCAAGAAUCAUUUUAUCAUAAGAAGAAGACAAGCAAUUUAUAAAAUUUAUGAAAAAAGAAACAUACAAGAACGUAUUUCAAAAAUAAAAAUUUGAUACAAAAAUUAUUCAAAUCUAUGAUAUUUAUUAAUUUUUUUAUGUAUACAUUUUAACGAUUUUGUUCUAUUCAUAUUUUAAACUGAAAGACAUAUCAUUUAUAUAUACAUUAUAUAUAUUAAAUAUGUAUAUAUAUGCAUUUUUUUU